rnacentral:rRNA from 1 species
GGAACCGGGAGAGGUAAGAGGUACUACAGGGGUAGGAGUGAAAUCUUGUAAUCCCUGUGGGACCACCUGUGGCGAAGGCGUCUUACCAGAACGGGUUCGACGGUGAGGGACGAAAGCUGGGGGCACGAACCGGAUUAGAUACCCGGGUAGUCCCAGCCGUAAACGAUGCUCGCUAGGUGUCAGGCAUGGCGCGACCGUGUCUGGUGCCGCAGGGAAGCCGUGAAGCGAGCCACCUGGGAAGUACGGCCGCAAGGCUGAAACUUAAAGGAAUUGGCGGGGGAGCACAACAACGGGUGGAAGCCUGCGGUUUAAUUGGACUCAACGCCGGACAACUCACCGGGGGCGACAGCAAUAUGUAGGCCAAGCUGAAGACUUUGCCUGAAUCGCUGAGAAGUGGUGCAUGG